rnacentral:rRNA from 1 species
UACGUAGGGACCAAGCGUUGUUCGGAUUUACUGGGCGUAAAGGGCGCGUAGGCGGCAAUUCAAGUCAUCUGUGAAAUCUCCGGGCUUAACUCGGAACGGUCAGGUGAUACUGCUUUGCUAGAGUGCGGAAGGGGCAAUCGGAAUUCUUGGUGUAGCGGUGAAAUGCGUAGAUAUCGAGAGGAACACCUGCGGCGAAGGCGGGUUGCUGGGCUGAUACUGACGCUGAGGCGCGAAAGCCAGGGGAGCGAACGGG